GGGAAGAGAAAUCCUAGCAGUUCUCUUGAUUCCAUUUCACUGUCGAAACGAUACUGGAGCACUUUUUUUGCACAUACCUAAAGGAAAAUCCCAAAUAACGAGCACCUAGCGACUUUGUUUAAGUGCAAUAGAGGAACUGUACGAGACAGUUUGCCCGUACACGGUGCGUUGCGGAGGGAUUUAGAAAUAAAAACCCAGUGUUGUGCAGUUGCAUUCCCUACCACUUCACUUGCGCUGGAUACGGGGAGGCUUUGACUUUUUUCAUCCCAGUUUCUGUCUCAAAACAACCGUAUUCUCGUCUAAAUCUGCUGAAGAACCUGACGGGGCAGAAGCCAUCAUCCCACAGAACAUACUAAAGGCCUGGGGAAGUCAUUAGCCACCACACACAACAGGACACUGGGUCUGCGUUUUCAAACCAGAUGGCCCAGCUGCGUGACAGUAUUCACCUGGGUGACUGGCAAGUGUUGAUGAAAUCACUCUCACACAUGCUGAGUGGUUAUUCCAAUUCAUUGAUUUUCUAUCAAACUGCUCUUGAAUGGGACUGUAGUCUGGCCAUUGUCAUAUCGUCGAGGUUGGAAAUGUCCGAGGUGGGAUGUGGAAUAGUGUAGAACGAACUUAAUGCGUAUGCUGAGUUUCUCUAAUACUGGAGAGCCAGAUCUCUCUUCUCUGUACUGUGCCGAUAGCCCGAUACAUAGGACAGAUUGGUACACCAAUACAUUUUCUUUGCUAGGCUCUGAGAUCUGCUAGUUGAAAUUCAUAUAUUAAUCAAGUGAAUGGACUGCUUGGUUAGUCACUUCAUACGGGAAUGGUUCAUUCAGAGAAAACAACAGAGACAAAGAGAUGAUGGUUAGCCCAAGAUGUUGAAUGGGACUUGGUUAGUAUGUUGUGUUGUGUUGUGUAGAUGCUGUUAUCACCAUGCCCUUGAAGGCACAUUCAUCAUAAGGCAUUUUUUUACACUGUAAUGAGACGUUGUCCACAAACACAGGUCUACAAUCAGUUCUCAGCAGGCACAACCACAACCCAAAGCAUCCAAAGUGACUACAGGAAACGGACCCAGGGUCUGUGCUUAGCUGAGCCUCCCAUGGUGAUGAGGAUUAGCUGGGUGACUGUAUCAGGGCCGGUCCCGUCUAUCUGUUUGAUAGGCUAAUUACCCUGAUUCUACACUUGUGCCCCAGAGAUAGACCUACAUGGAGGGAGGCACAUUUCUUCUCAACCCCCUCUUCCUCUUUCCCCUUUCCCUUAUUCUCUCUGACUCUUUCACCAUCUAUCUCAGCCCCCCCUCCUCUUUAUGUUUUCUCUUCCCCUCACAUUUUGUCCUAUCAAUUCCAUUCCAUUUCAAUUUAUGGAGUUUUAUUAGCAUGGGGAAAAAAAUGUACAUUGCCAAAGCAAGUGAAAUAAAUCAUAAACAAACGUUUACUGUUACUGUUCAUUC
ensembl:lncRNA